UUUAUGAAUUUAUUUACACCUUGUCUGAGUUAUAAUAAAUGAUUACUGUCCUAUUAUACAAACGUAACAGUAAAGGUUUUUAAAUACAAAGACUGCAAAUGAAUACAUGAAAAAUUACACACAUGUACAAUAUUUAUAAUUUAUAAAUGUAAAGAUAAGACUUCUUUAAAUUAUUGCACUUACGCACUUUACAAAGAUAUUUUUUUAAUGUCAGACAUAUAAAAUCAUCUUUUUGGAAUUUACUAACUCAUCAACUACAAUAGUGUUGGAUAUUGUUAACUUGAAAUUCUUUUUCUUUCCCCUUCCAAAAGAGAGCCCAUUAAGGCUUUGGCUGCCGACCCGUCCCCUGAGGAUCAGUUGCUUGGACCUGCGGUUCCUGUUUCCAGCAGGUGUUGGCUAGCUAGGAGGCUGUCACCGUGACCUCUGAGGUGCCUUGGCUGGGUGCAGAUGGAAAAUCUCUUUUGUUCAUGUGUUCAUGUGGAGAAAGCUGUUCUUCUCAGGAAGAGUCCAGACGCUGCAUUUGCUGUUUGGAAGUGGGACGCUGACAGUCACCCCAGCUUUGCGCUGCUUCCUCGGCCACUCCUGCCCUCUACUUUGUUUCGAUCAACAGACAACUAAUUGAUAGUGACACAUUUUAUGAUUGGAUUUCAUCACCCAGACUCAAAACACUUCACGUUGGUGUUGGCAUGAACUUAAGUAUCCACGAACAUUUUUUCCCCAGAUAAAAAGGGACCACAAAGUGUGGAAAAAAAUUAAUAACCACCACGACUCUAAAACUUGUGUGUUAAAUGCUCAUAAAUAAUUUCAGUAAGUGGAACUUUCUCUUAAUAUUCAUUGUUUGUCACUAAGUUUGCACCAGACACUAAUGAGAAAUUCCUGGAAAUCCUCGGUGGGAGGAAGCAUGGAGAGAAAAGAGGUGGGAAAAACUUAGAGGCAGGAUUCCAGUGCCUGUCUGCUAAAUAUACUUGCCAACACACACACACACACACACACACACACACACACACACACACACACACACUUGACUGCA